UUAUUAAACCCUUUUCAUCUUUUUCAAUGGUGCACAGUGCACUAUCUGAGUGGGGGAAUUGGGAAACUAAUGGAUGAAAAAUAAUAAUUGGGGCAUGCCAAAUUGACAAAUGCGUAAAGAAGAUGAAGCCUAUCAAAAACAUUACUUGUUGGCAAUUGGAAACUGCAGGAUGAUUGGAAGUUAAGCCAUCAAAAUCUCUAUAAGCAUCUCUCUCUCACUCAUCUUUUGGGACAGAUUCCAGCUUUCUUCCACCACCCACUACAACCUCUCUGUCUACCCCACACCCAAGCAAGAUUCCAACUGAUCAUCUUCGCUCUCUGAUAACAGUUUCCAGCUAUUAAUUUAUUCCCACCAGAAAUUAGGGAUGUCCCAUUCACAAUCAAACAAACACAAGAUAACUUUGCUGGACCAACCUUGCUGCUGGCCGCCCAUUUUCUUUAAUUCUACUAAGGCAAUUACAUUAUUUGUCUUAAUCUCAAAUAUCAUGAAGUACAGAAAUGAUAAGUUUAGUUUGGAUCGUAAGAAUAUAGUGGCGGAUUCAGAUAUUUUUCUUCACGCUACAAUGGUAAAUACAAUUAGUUUCUACCUCAACCUUUUUGAGGCAUUUCGACAAACUGUUUAAGGAAAAUAUCAAUAGCUAACUGAAUUGAUGAGCCAGAUUAAGAACAUAGAUGUCCGAGUGGAGAAUAUAGUAAUUUAUAAACAAAUGAAUCGUUCCAAUAAUAAUUUUUUAAAAGAACUAAUGAUAGAGACCAAUUGUUUAAAUUAAACAACACUUGGUUUUCUUGUAAUAAUUUCAACUAGUUGGAUUGGAUGAUUGGUGUGCUCAUCGUGGACUCAAUUAUUUCUUCGGCAAGUGUACAAUUAUGUUGAUCAGGUCAACAUGGCUCCUAUACACGAUAUGUAUGAAUACUAAUAUUGUAUGAUGUUGUCAAAUUAUCAAUCCGAAGAAUUCAUGUUAUACAAUUUGGAUGAUAAAAUAUUAAUCAGCAUGCCAGAGACUUACAUAAUAGAACGAAUAAUUGUUAGUUAUAGUGGAGUUUUAACUUGUGGAGUACGUUAGAAGUGGGGUGGGGGGAUUUUGGGUGGGUGGGAAACCACUUGAAAUCCAAUAUUUUUACUUUUUGAGCAAAUAAAAGCAUGAAAAAUAAUUUCAUGAUUCCAUCGACCUCCCACCCCAUCCCAUCCCAGCAGCCUCUCUCCACCGAAAAAUCAAGUGCCGCAGAUUACAGGAUGAUUGAUUGCUUCCUAUCUCUUUUUCUGUGUGAAAGUGAAAAAACCAAUCAAUAAAAGAGAACAAAAAGACCCAACAUUGUUGACAAUUGAGAACGUUGUCUUUAUAGACCAUUUUGGUUGGACCCAAGUCAUUCAAGUGUGAAACUACCAACUAUGAAGUAGUGCCAUUCGUAUGGUAAAACAACAAGAGAACAAAACAAAUAAUGGAUGCUGAAAAAUACUGAUUGUUAAUAUUUUAUGUUUCUUCUGGAAGGAUGAGAUGAAUGCAAGAAUUUAAUUAAGGUUCCUAAUCUCAGAAUUUGCCUAAUUAACAAGAAAAUCAUGUCCUCCGGAAAAAAAAAAAAAAAUUAAUAAUGAUAACAAGAAAAUCAUGUCCGUACAGUAAUGCUAAUCAGGGUAGUACACAGGUUCACUAAGCAAUCAGGUGUGGGAUCCCUUUAGCUAUCAGUAGGACAGAUAAAUGGCCGUGCUUUUAAUACAAGAAAGUCUUCAUUCUACAUUCUCAUUCGGUCUCAUACUACAAUGUAGUUUAAUAAUUAGAAACGUCUCUUUUAGGGCACUCUUUAAAUCAUAUGUAAAAAAAAAAACAACUAAAUUGGAAAUCGUUUAGUCAUUUAAUUGUUAUUGGACGAACACAGAACUAUCCCAAUGUUACUCAAUCAGGUUAAACGAACUCCAAUUUUGUUUUUGUUUUUUGUUUUUUUUUGGGUAUAAAUGAUCUUUAAAGUGCUAUACCUCGAAAGUAAACGGUUUUCAUCCUCAUACGACAACAGAAAGAAGAAGUACAAAUGCAAAUGGAAUGUAGCAAACUUUCCCCUAUUAAUCUACCAGAAUUAAUUAUCAAACGUUUAGUGCUAAUGACGAAGAGUGAGGUCAAUGUAAGGCGGUUGCCUAAGGUCACACUCAUAGGCAUAGCCAAGGCCCAUGCUGUGCUUUAUCCCAAACAAAAUGGUGAGCUAAGGCUGCCUCCUCACCUAUAGCCUAUAGGCACUUUUAAGCGCUAUGUAUUUGUCAAUAUCUGUACACGAUGGUUGGACUCAAUUUAUCUUUAUAAAAAAAAUAAUAGUUUCACGAGAAAUUAUUAUAUGAUAUCGGAAAAUGCAUAUAAAUAUAUUGCAUAUGUAUUUAUGUUAAUUAAUGUAACACCCUAUAUACUCUCAUAUCUACUUAUAUUUUCGAAACAAAUCCAUGGAUGAUGUCGUUUUGUGUAUUUGACAUUGAUGUGGAAGCUGCAUAAUAAUUUUUUACUGUUAUAAUGGGUGACGUGUGAGAAUUGGAAACCCAUUGUCUCUCCAUUCAGCUUAUAAGGCUAAAGGGAUGUAUGCUUUGAGGAGCAAACAUCAUUUUACAUCUGUGGGUGGGAGUUUAGGUUAGCUAGCUUGUGAAAUAAUCAUGGCAGCUCCCAUUUCUAGCUCCUCCUUCCUCAUGAGGUAUAUCAUUUGUUGCUCUGGUUUUCUAUGCCUAAUUCUGUGCUCUUUGGAGAAGGGCUUUGCCUUGGAAGAAAGAGAACAUGCUCACACAGUUGAAGUCAAUUCUCUGCUGCCUGCAACCACCUGCAGCUCCUCCUCCUCCACCAAAGGUCAAUAUCUCUGAAACCCUUUUUGUUUAUCUCUCUCCCUCUUUCUAUCCUCUGUGUGCAUGUUUUCUUGUCAUAUUUGCUUUAAUUUGAUUGCAAUGGUGGAAGUAGAUAUACAUAUAUUUAUAUAUACAGUACUGCUGCUGCUGGUAAUCGGAGAAUCCAAUUCUUUAACCCAUGAGCAACAAGCCAUAAGAACAUUUCUUUCUAUAAAAUAUAUAUAUAUAUAUAUUUAAGGGGAUACUUUGAUAAAGAUGGCAUAGAUUAGAUUCUGCAAAAUCUUAAAAUGGUUUAUUAUUUUUGAAAUAAUAAUAAUAAAGUUUUGGUAGGAGAUGUAACUUUCAGCAGCAUGCAUAUAUAAUAAUAUUAUAUUGUCAAUAAACUUAUAAUUUAGUGUUACAUAAAUAAUUAAAGAGUUUUUCCUUCCAGGGUUUUGUUAAUUGAGAUCAUCAUUUUUGUUUAUGGAUCAUUUAAUUUACGGAUUAAAAGAUUUGAUGGUAUUAAUUAAGUUUUUGUUUAAAGAUUACGCAUGCAAUCAGUAAACAUGACUCUUUAUUUAAUUAAUUAAAGGAAUUUCGACUAUGAUUGCUCAUUACAAACACAAACACACAAAGACAUAUGUGAGUUUUGAGUUUCUUCCCACUUGGAAGUCCUUUUUUGCAAGCUACGUAAUCAUCAAGCAUGUUCCUUCCUGCGCCAAUCAUGGCCACAUAAGCAGGUACGAUAGGCACUGCCAGCCAGCAGGCCAUGACACCCUUCCAUAUUGAUGCCUAGUGCCGACAUAUACCAAAAUAAUUUGUGCAUAAGUUGGUCUUUACAUUAAAACAGAAUCAUGGAACUAAUUUUGUCCCAAUAUAGAAGUUCCGAUAUAUUGAAUUGUUGUGCAAUUUAAUUAGUUCCUAUCUUAUUAUUUUUUAAAUUUAUUAAACAACGAUAAAGACAUUAAGUCUAAUUUAAUAAAAAUAAUUCAAUUCAAACCGAGUCACUAAUCAUAGUUGUAAAUUAUUUGAAAUUCAGGUCAUAUGAGCAAGCAUGCAUCAUCAUCAGUGCUGAAAGUGGUACACAAGCAUGGCCCAUGUUCCCGACUCAAGAAGCACAAAUCCAAAACUCCAACUCAUGCUCAAAUCCUCCAGCAAGACCAAGCCCGAGUCAACUCAAUCCACUCCCGAGUCAACUCCAAGAAGCAAUUGAAAAGCGUCGACGAUCUACGCGAAUCGGCGGCCACCACCAUUCCGGCCCAGUCCGGAAGCGUCGUCGGAGCGGGAAACUACAUAGUCAACGUGGGCCUGGGCUCUCCCAAGAAGCAGCUAUCGCUCAUUUUCGACACGGGCAGCGACCUCACUUGGACCCAAUGUAGACCAUGUGUAAAAUCUUGUUACAAACAGAAAGAGCCCAUCUUCGACCCUUCUCUCUCCGCCUCCUACGCCAACGUCUCCUGCACCUCCGCCACGUGCACUCAGCUGGGUUCGGCCACUGGAAACACCCCCGGCUGCACCGCCUCCACGUCCACCUGCAUCUACGGCAUCCAGUACGGCGAUCAGUCGUUCUCCGUCGGCUACUUCGGCAAGGAGAAGCUGAGCUUGACGAACACAGACGUGUUUGAUGGGUUUCUGUUCGGGUGUGGCCAGAACAACCAAGGCCUUUUCGGCGGCGCUGCCGGUUUGCUCGGUCUCGGCCGAAACCAAAUCUCCCUUGUGGAACAAUCGGCUAAAAAAUACAACCGGUUCUUCUCCUACUGCCUCCCUUCCACCUCGAGCUCCACCGGCUACCUCAGCUUCGGCAAAGGCGGCGGAUCUUCCAACGCCGUCAAGUUCACGGCCCUCUCCACCGUCUCCCAAGGCGACUCGUUUUACGGCCUCAACGUCGUCGGGAUCAACGUCGGCGGGACUAAAUUGCCGAUUUCGGCUUCGGUCUUUUCGUCUUCGGGAACGAUCAUAGAUUCCGGAACGGUGAUCACGCGGCUGCCGCCGACGGCGUACAGCUCGUUGAAGGCGGCGUUUCGUCAGAGGAUGAAGAGCUAUCCGCUGACUCAGGAGCUCUCGAUACUCGACACUUGCUACGACUUCAGCAGCUUCAAAACGGUGUCGUAUCCGAAGAUUUCGUUCGUGUUUGACGGCGGGCUUACGCAGGACUUGGACGCGACGGGGAUACUGUACGUGGCGAGCGCGGAUCAGGUUUGCCUGGCGUUUGCAGGGAAUGGGGACGAUAGCGACAUUGGGAUUUUUGGGAACGUUCAGCAGAAGAGGCUGCAGGUGGUGUAUGAUAUUGCUGGUGGAAAGGUCGGAUUUGCCCCUGCAGCAUGCCCCUGAGCUAUGGCUAUAUUAUUAUGCAAUGCAUGCAGCUACCCAGCUUUGCUAAUGAAGAAGACAAUCUUGGAGUUAGCACAAAUGGGGCUGUUAUAUUAAUAUAAAGACUACUUAAUUAAGGCUAGUUUUAAAUUAGCUUAAUUAAGCUAGCUAAUUAACCCAUUGUUGAUUGAAGAAGAUGAUCAUCAAUUGGUAUAAAAGUAUAGUUGUGAUACAUAUAGACUAAUUGGAACAAGCUAUAGUGACAAUUGGUUUGUGUGUUGGUGUAAUAGCUAGCUAAAGAAUGGAAAGUAUGCAAUGCAAGUUGUACAUAAAUAAAACAAUGUUGGAUUAUUUAGCUAAUUUCGGGCAUGCAAAAUAGGAUGAAUCUCUCUUAAUUUGGUCUUGCCUCAAACGAAAUGCCCAAUUAAGAAUCAAGGAUUGAUUGGUGUUAAUGGGGUCUAGUUCAGUGAAAAAUGGUAUUGAUUUGAAUACUAGAGGUCUCAGCUUUCGAAUUCCCAUAACAUCAUUUGUGUGUAUGUAUAUGAGUAUUUUUGAACUACUCCAAAAAGAAUGAUGGUUAUUGGAUCAUUUACCAAUCUGAGUCUGAUAGACUCUAUAUUUAUUUUAUAUUUUCCAUAUAAGUAAGAUUAUAAAAAAGUGAAUUCCAUUAUAGAGCCGUGUGCAAAAGAAAAUGCAUGUACGGUUGUAGACUAUCGCUUAUACUAAAAAAAUCAAUUGGUAAAAAAAAUCUUGAGGUUCUUGGUCUGUAAACCGACUUGGUGAGUGAGUGGACAAUCAAAGCCCAGACUUGUCGUUACUUUGAGUUUGUUUGACCGGUAUUGGUAGGCCAAUAAGCCCAAUAUACAAAAAUAUAAAAAUGAAAAACUCUUGAUUAAUUUAAUAAUGUUACCUUAAAGUCUGUUGACUUAUUGACUUUGAAAAUGGCAUAUGAUGAUAAUAUGCGCAACAGGCGCAUGGAUAGUUCCAAAUUUAUGUUUGGUGUAGUUUGAAAAAUGCCACCGUGGAUACAAAUUACAAUGACAAGACGCUGAAAUGGCGCCAUGACAUUGAUCACCAACAGGAACGUCUUCUAUACUUUCCAGACACCAAGUCCUCUGCGCUUUAAUCACAAUAUUGACAGGUGAUGGAUAAUUAAUUAAACGACUAUAAUGUUAAAAAAAAAAAUAUUGCAUUUGUUUAUUUUGUAGGUCAUAAUUAUAUGUUUUAAUAAUUUUUAAAUUGUCUAAUAUUUUGUAAAUAUUAUCUAUAAAUUACGACUCACUCGGUUGAAAUAUAAUUUAUCAAUUAGUUGGAGUCUACAGAGACUUGACCAAUUAGUUGUCAAUUAUGAAUUGAAAACUAUACGUCUCAUCACUAAAUGCUUGGAAAUUAAGGCCAAUAAACCCGGUGGACAUCCAUGUCUCCAAUUAGCCUAUAUAAGGCCAAGAGUAUGCUUACAUUACAGCAGCAACUCAAUAAUCUAGAGGCAAUCUUGUUAAUUAUUCAUGGCAACUCCCAUGAUUUCUAGCUCCUCCUUCCUUAGGUUUUUCAUGGCUUUCUUCUCUGUAUUUCUAUGCCUAAUUCUCUGCUCUUUCGAGAACGGAUUUGCUUUGGCAGCAAGAGAUACAAAACCCCACCUUAUGCCACAUACCACUCACACAGUUGAAGUAAACUCUCUUCUACCAGCAACCACCUGCAGCCCCUCCACCAAAGGUUAAUUCAUCCCAUAUUAUAUAUAUAAUUUAAUUUCAAUGCAUUUAUGUAUCUCUAACACACACACACACUCUCUCUCUCUCUCUCUAUGCAUACAUGUUUCGAUGAUCUCAGGUCAUAACAAUAACAAGGCAUCAUCGGUAUUGAAAGUGGUGCACAAACAUGGGCCAUGCUCCAAAUUCCACAAAUCAUCAAAAACUUCAACCACAACUAGUGAUGAAAAAUACCAUGCUCAAAUCCUCGAGCAAGACCAGGCCCGAGUCAACUCAAUCCACUCCCGCCUCAACCACAACAACAACAAAGACCCACUCACCCAAUCCGCCGCCACCACCCUCCCCGCCAAGUCUGGUAUCGUUAUCGGCUCAGGGAACUACAUUGUCACCGUCAGCCUCGGUACACCAGCCAAGCAACUCUCCCUCGUCUUCGACACUGGCAGCGACCUCACCUGGACCCAAUGCCAGCCAUGUCCUACUACUCGGUCUUGUUACAAACAGACUGAGCCCAUCUUCAACCCUUCUCUCUCCGCCUCAUACAAAAAGAUCCCAUGUACCACCGCCGCGUGUACUCAGCUCCCAUCCUCCGGCCUCGAACAAAGCUGCUCCGCCUCCACCUGCCUUUACAUCGCCGUUUACGGUGACAACUCCUUCUCUAAAGGGGUAUUUGGCAGCGAAAAGCUUACAUUGACCCCUACGGACGUUUUUGAAAGUUUCCUCUUCGGCUGCGGCCUAGACAACGGAGGCCUAUUCAGAGGAUCCGCCGGUUUGCUAGGUCUCGGCCGGAGCAGCAUCUCCUUCGUCGAGCAAACCGCCAAUAAAUACAACCGGUUCUUCUCCUACUGCCUCCCGUCGACUUCCAGCUCCACCGGUCACCUCACCUUCGGUGACGGAGGCUCUCCUAACGGCGUUAAGUUCACGAAGCUCAUCACGUCAUCCCAAAGCGAGUCGUUUUACGGCCUCGGCCUCGCCGGCAUCAAAGUCGGUGGGAGCCAGCUGUCGAUUGCGCCCUCGGUCUUUUCGUCUUCUGGAACGAUCAUCGACUCGGGGACGGUGAUCACGAGGUUGCCGGCGACGGCAUACGCAGUGUUGCGGGGCGCGUUUCGGGAGGCGAUGAAGAACUACACACUGACUAAUGGCGAUUCGUUGCUGGACACGUGUUACGAUUUCAGCGGCUUGAACACGGUGUCAUAUCCGAAGAUAGCGUUUGUGUUUGGGGAUGGACUUACGGUGGACUUGGACGCGACCGGGAUAUUGUUUCCGAUAAGUCCUUCGCACGUUUGCUUGGCGUUUGCCGGAAACAAGGAUGAUAGAGACGUCGGGAUUAUUGGGAAUCUUCAACAGAAGAGGUUGGAGGUUGUGUAUGACGUGGCCGGAGGAAAAGUCGGAUUUGCCCCUGCAGGUUGCGAUUGAGUAAUGACGUCGUCCAUGGGUAUAAGUGUAAUACAAACAGCUUGCUAGCUAUAGAAUAAAGCAUUGGGUUACAUAUUUGUGUGUAAUGUUUGUCUGUUGUAAGUCGGUGUCUCCUGUUUUUCUUUUUUGGGUUCUUAUUCUUAAGGGAAAUACCCAUGUAAUUCUUAUUUUCUAGAUAUAAAUUUAACUAUUUCUAAAUAUUUAAGAUAAGUCUUAAACCCAAAUUCCAAAUAUGCUGUCAUUUAAGAUAAUAUAUAUUUGUCCUAGUAUUAUCAGUUAAAUUACAAUAUGUGCCAUUAACCUUCAUCAAUUCCUUCCUUUGUUUGCAACUAAAUUUCAUUUUAGAAUCUAAACCGAACUCUGUGCGUGUCCGACACUUGGCGGGUGCCGGGCACACUUGACUAAAUUGCGCUUCUAACGAAACCGAAGUUCAUCUCAAGUUUGACUUCUGUUGAAAAUUCGGCAGAAUCUUCCAUGUAAAUAGUCGCUACCCCAAAUUGCAUGAAGUUUACAUUCAAGCAAUCCAACAACAUAACUAUAUGGCCUUAGGCUUUACAGAAAUCCUAGGGCAAUUUCAGAGCAAUACUAAUCAGUUUAAUUUACAGGAAUAGUUCAAUUAUAAAAGAAAUCCUACAUAGCGGAAAAGAUGAGUGAAGAGUGGUGACUACCCUGUGGUGGCGCUCUGGUACACGACUACUGCCUUAGGGUGCAAAACAUUUAAAAGUGUGAGUGGACAAAAAUAAACUUUUGGAAAAUAGAAUAUUAACAUACUAACCCCACUGUUAAAACAUUAUGUUCUAUAUUCGUACAAGAAUAAAGACAUACAUAUAACUAAUCACGCAUUCAAAUUCUCAAAACCUUUUGAAGGCACUGUAAAGAAAUAAUAUAUUUCUCACUUAGGUGUACCCAUCAUAUAUCCGUCAAUUCCAUGGUCUUUUACUUAUUUCCCAUAUUAUACCCUCAAUUCCUUGUGUCACAUAAUGCGACACAUCCUCGCAAGUCUCGGAAACACAAAGUCACCGGAGCCGCAUUCCUCGCAAGACUCAGGGGACAUUAAGUCAACCUGAGCCGCAUUCCUCGCACCACACGGUUCGGGCAUCCUCGAAACUAGUGGGGCAUUGUCAAACGCGCACUGACUCAACCGAACGCAACUAGAAUGUCCGUGGACAUUAUUAUAACCGUAGGCAACAAUUUUAUCCGAAGGCAACAUAUUAUUCGAAGGCAACAUAUUAUCUGAAUGCAACAUUUUAUCCGAAGGCAACAUCUUGGGUACCUAUGGUGGUUUAAAAAUAUUUCUUAGAAAAAUUAUACUUUUAUUUCUCAAUAAAUCCUUCAAUCAUAUUAUCACUUCCUUUCCUACUUUCCAAGCCUUUUAAACAUGAACAAAAUUUAAUAAAGAUAUUUGAAUUCAAAUAUUUAUGCUUGGAAAGUAAUAGUCAUAAAUAAUUCAUUCAAAAUCAAUCAAUGAAACUUUAAUUGCAUAAAAUUCAUUUACAAAACAAAAGUUCACUCACUGAGCAUCCGAGCUAGCCUGACUCUUUGAGGGUCUUUCCUGCACGUUCAACGAAAUCUGAGUACCUAUUUAAGCAAUUAAAACAUUUUAUUAAUAAAAUAGCUCAACCACAAUUACUUAUUCAACACCCUGACCCCCGGCCUCAUAAGUGCGUGUACGUGACUUACAAAGGUUACUAGGCCCAUUUUCAACAUUUCUGACAGGUGGAAUGGUCUGAAAAGACCCGAGUUUAAAAAAGCGAUUAAAUUUCCAUAUUGGUAAAUCCGGUACCCCGUCGGGUCCACGACCGCCGAUUACCCAUCUAAGAGUUCCUAUAGGUUCAACACACUUUACUAAACAUGCCCUGCAAGUUUGGUCCGAAUCGAACGAUCGGAUUACUCACGAUCGCACGAUUAUCGUUUAACUUAAACUUUGAAAUAUUGAAUCAGAGUAUCCGAAACUCCGAUUCUCGAUCCGCGAAUUUCUACAUGAUCCCAGAAGCGCCUAAAUCAACCUAAUUGAAAAUGAAGUAGAUCCAACGGUCCCAACAUAUCAAACCAGGAUAACGCCUAAUAUACGAUAUCUGAUCGACGAUCAAACAAUAACCAAAUUGAAAUUCGAGUAUACCGUCGCGCUCAGGACGACGUGGGGAUCAUUCUGGGACAAAAAUCCAACAUUGACACCCCGCCGACGCGCCGCCACCACUGGCAGGUAUAUUGAGUAAUUUUUCGGCGAUCGAAAAACUCCGAACUGCCAGUCAAUAAUCAUACCUACGGAUUAAGCACAUCAAGAGGAGUAAAUAUCAUGAAUCCAAUUGACAUUGGAACAAAGUUGCAAGGUUUGGAAAUGAAUGUAGAUGAAGAUAUGAUGGUUCAUAUUGCUUAGAAUUCACUAUCUAAGGAGUUUAAGUCUCUCAGAGAUACCUACAUUUCUCAAAAGGAAAGCUGGACACGGGAUGAUCUUAUCACCAUAUGUGUUGAACAGUAACACAAUAUAAUAAGAGAAAGAGAUGAAAAAAUGGUGAAUCAGAUGCAGUCAAAGCAAAAUAAGGAAUAUAGGAACAAAGCCAUUGCAGCUGGAAAAGAGAAAGAAAAUGAAAAGGAUAAUAACAGUCCAAAUGCUCUGAAACCAGUGGGAUUGAAAUGCUUCUUCUAUAAGAAAACUGGACAUAUGAAAAAGGAAUACAUAAGGUAUAAGAAAUGGUUGGACAAACAGAAAACUAAAGGUAAAAGUGAUCAAGUUUUGGUUUGCUUUGAAUCUAAUUUAGUUGAUUUUAUUGAUGAUUCAUGGUGGUUAGACAGUGGUGCAUCUAUUCAUGUGACUAAUUCUUUGCAAGGGUUCAUAAAGAGGAGGCUGCCAAGCAAGGAUGAAGUGAAGGUGUUCGUAGGAAAUGGUAGGGGUGGCAUUUUAAACCGAAAAACCGAAAAACCGCAAAAAUCAACCGAUAUUUUACCGCAAUAAAACCGCAAUCGCGGUAAACCGAACCGCAAUCGCGGUAUUAAGAACCGAACCGCAUUUACGGUUGCGGUUGCGGUAUUUGAUUUUCAAAAUUUGCAGUUACCGCAAACCGCAAAGUAUAGCCGCACGGCUAUACUCUAUGAAUAAUUAAGUAAAAUUGUAAACCCUUCUCUUCUCUUGAAUUGGUGGAAAGGGAACCAAACAAGAUAUCCUAUUCUUUCACAAGUUGCCAAGGAUAUCUUUGCAAUUCCAAGUUCUACGGUUGCUAGUGAAAAUGCUUUUAGCCUAGGCAAGAGGAUUGUGGAUCCUUUUAGAAGCUCUUUGCAUCCUAAAAUGGUAGAGGCAUUAGUGUGUACUAGUGAUUGGCUUAGAGCGGACGAAUUUUCCUUUUACAAGGAACCAACAGAUGAUGAGGUUGAAUUCUACAAGGAAAUGGAAGAUAUGACAACUUGUAAGUAAUUAGUUUAUUUAUGCUAAUGUUAUUUAUGCUUCUUCUUAUAAUAAAAUGUACUAAACUAUGUUGUUUUAUUUGUAGAUAGCAUUGGUGCUCAAACAAUACAAAGGGGUUCUUCAAAUCCACUCACCACCAACACUUGAGUUUGUAACAUUGGUGUAUUGCAUUUUUCCUUUUAGUUUGUAACUUUAAUUAACUGUGAAUUGGAUUUUUCUUUUUGAUUGUAACUUUAAUUCAUUUUGCUUUUGGUUUGUAAAUUUAAAGGAUUUGGAAUUGGAAUGCUUGAGAAGUUUAACUUUAAUUGGAAUGUUUGGAAUUGUAACUUUAAUUUUCUUAGGUUGUGAAUGCUUGAGAAUUGGAAUCGAUUGUGAAUUUAUAUAUGCUUGAGAAAUUGAGGUUGUAUAUUUAUUUAUUUAGGUUGUAAAUUUAUAUUUUUGUGAAUGCUUGAGAAUUUGCGGUUUUAAACCGCAAAUUCUCGGUAACCGACCGCAUUUUUGCGAUUUACCGCAAUGCGGUAAACCGCAAAACGCGGUCGGUUUGCGGUUUCAAAAAUCACCAAACCGCAAAUAGUCGGUCGGUUUGCGGUUUGAAUAAAAAUUCGCGGUUACCGAACCGCAACCACCCCUAGGAAAUGGAGAAAAGUGCAAGUAGAUAAUAUUGGAGUAGUUAGGAUUGAACUAGAUUCUUGUUUUGUUUUUUAUUUAGAAGAUGUGGUUUAUGUUCCUUCAAUGAGCAAGAAUCUCAUCUCAGUUACUAGGCUUGUAAAGUCAAAGUUCACUUUGAACUUUGAUGAUUUUGGUUGUUCUAUUUUUAGAAAUAAAAGCUUAAUUGGAAAAGCAAGUAUUGUGGAUGGUAUGUUUCGAUUAAACUGCAAAAAAACUAUGCAAAUCAACUUAGUUCAAUCCAAACCAUGCAAAGAAUUAUAUUUUAAAUUGUGGCAUAAGAGACUUAGACGUAUUUCAAAGGCAAGAAUCAAUACUUUAUGCAAAGAAUUAGUUGUACCACCAUUGAAUCAUGAUAAUGCAGAUGAUAUAUGCCUAGAAUGUACAAAGGGAAAAUUGACCAACCUAAGAAAGAACGGUGUUGUAAGAAGUCAAAGUGUAUUAGAAUUAAUCCAUACAGACAUAUGUGGACCAUUCCCAACUCCAUCAUGAAAGGUUUAACUACUUCAUCACUUCUACAGAUGACUAGUCGAGAUUUGGACAUGUUUUUUUAAUCAAAGAAAAAUCCAGUGCUUUGGACAUGUUCAAAAUUUAUAAAGCUGGAGUGGCACUACUACAAAAAAGCAAAAAGACGACGGUAAAUCACCGUCGUGUAUUCGGUUUUUCAAUGGUCGUGGAAUCCACCAUCAUCUUUUCCCUCAUAAACCACGACGCUAAAUCACCGUCGUUGUUAAAAUAUACAACGUCAUCAACAAAUACAAAACGACGUCUUUGUACUGCAAAAAGAUCUAAAAAAGCAGUCGAGGAUGAGAAUAGACGACCAACUCUCUAAAAAAACCGUCGUUAAAAAGGAAAAAUAUGACACAUAUUAAGAGAACAAGGCCGCAAGAUAGACAUACAACGACGAAAAUAAAAAUACGACGCCGUUAAAUAUCAUUUUCACGACAAUAAAAAAUUUGACAUCUUUAAAUACAUUAGAAGACGACGUUAUUGAUACCUACUACGUCGCAUAUAUAAAAACAGUCGUCGUAAAAUUAAUUUUCCACUUCGAUUUUUCGAUAAAAGAUGACGUGGAAAUAGUUGUCAGUGUCAUUAUUUACGACGUAUGUAUUUAUAGAGUAGACGUUGAAAAACGAAACAACGUCGGUUACAAAUAUAUGAGAGUCGUAUUACAAAAUUUAUACGUCAUAUUUUCAGAAACAAACAACGACGAUAAAUAUUAGACGUUGUUAAAUAAAACAACGUCGGAAAACAAUAAAAACAGACGUGUUUAGUCUGCUAAAGUUCUAGAAAAUAGUCGAGGAUGAGAAUAGACGACCAACUCAAACAAAUCACCGUCGUUAAAAAAGAAAAAUAUGACACAUGUUAAAAGAACAAGGCCGCAAGAUAUACAUACAACGACGACAACUAAAAUACUACGCCGUUAAAUAUAAUUUACACGACAAGAAAAAAUAUGACGUCUUUAAAUACAUGAGAAGACGACGUUAUUGAAAUAUACUACGUCUCUUAUUUACAAACAACCGUCGUGAAAUAAAUUUUUCACUUCGAUUUUUCUAAAAAAGAUGACGUGGAAAUAGUUGUCAGUGUCAUUAUUUACGACGUAUGUAUUUAUACAGUUGACGUUGAAAUGCGAAACAACGUCGGUGGCAUUUAUAUAGUCGACGUUGUAUUUAUAUCUAUCAUCAUUACUCACGACACACUUAAUAAUAUAGACGACGUUGAACUUCUAAACAACGUCGGUUCCAAAUAAAUGAGAGCCGUAUUACAGAACAUAUAGACGGCGUUGAUUAUGAUGAGAGCCGUAUUACAAAUAACGUCGUUUAAUUGUUAUUAGACGGCGGUUAUAAUGAAUUUCCGUCGGAAUUCAUUUCGUUCCUCUUCGUUUAUAAAAGAACUUGCGACGUGAAAAAUGUAUGAUGACGUCGUAUUUUUUAACGUUCAGAUUAUAUAUCUCGUUUUUUAGACGUCGGUAUUAUGGGAUUGGAGUCGUGUUAUUUUGAAUUACAUGGCGGUUCUUAAUCCUUCCCCGACGUGAUAUCCUGAAUAAUUGCUUCACAAUAGCGUCGUGGUUCUUCAUUGUUACGUUGCUUUAAGACGUCGGUAAAUAUGCUGAAUAACUGGUUCACAAUAACGUCGUGUUUUAUUUGAACGUAGAAAGUGAAGAAAUCACAUUACAAUAUAUUAUAAAAUUAAUGUCAUACACUGCCAAUUACAUAAGCAUCAUUCAAUCCAUAUAUCUUCACACCCAUCUCGAAUAUUUUGACCGCCUAACUCACCCACCAGUUCAUCAAAUGUGUCAACAUUUGGCAUCCCUCUAGUAAAUGGCUCACACUCAAUUAUCACAUCACCUAAGACUUCAUCACCAAUAACAUCAUUAUAUUCUCUAUUAGGCAUUGAUAACACUACUGACCAACCACGAUGCAUCGGGUCGUCAACAAAAAAUAUUUGUUUGACUUGAGAAGCCAAAACAAAUUGGUCAUUCCUAUGUCCAAUUUUACUCAAAUCUACAAGGGUAAAUCCAAGUUCGUCGACUACAAGACCAGAACUAUCUAUCCAAUCACACCUAAAGACUGGGAUUGUAAACUUUUGGUAGUCAAGGUCCCAAAUUUCUUGAAUGACACCAUAGAAACCCAUAUUUGAGAGAAUUGGGUUUUUAUCCUUGGCACUAACACAUGGACAACGGAUAUGUAUUGUAGUUAGAAGAUUUUCUACAGCAAAGUUCAAAAAUGCUUCCACCCCAAAUUCAUAUGCCUUCGAUCUUCUAUCCGAGUGCAUCCAUGACUUAUCCAUCUCCGACACUAUAACCUAUUAUCUAUAAUAAAGUGAAAAUACAGGCAAUGACCAUCACUAUAGCAGAUUAUACAAUGAUCUAAUCGCAAGUAAUACACAACAGAGACGACGGGUUUUAAACAAAAACAGACGUAUUUGGCAUAUAUAGACGACGGAUUUUCAACAGACGUCGUCUAUUAUAAGUAAUACAAACGACGGUUUAUGAAAAAACCGUCGUGUAUAAGUAAUACAACGACGGUAGUUUAAAAAAACCGUCGUGUAAUCGUCGUCGUAUGCCUUAAAAUUUGUCGUGUCUCAGUUUAUUUUCAAGAACACAAAACCCAUUAAGAACACAACAUAUAUAUGAAACCAAGCAAGAAACCAACAUAUACAUGAAACCAAGCAUGAAAACAAUAAAUCCAUUCCCAAUUCAACAUAACAUAGGGUGAUUAAAAGAUACGACAAAAUUAAAUCCAUUCCCAAUUCAACAUAACAGAUAAUGUAAUCCAUGAACCCAUUAAACAGAAAAUCCAUGAACCCAUACCUAUAAGCACAUUAUUAACAGAUCGCAAAGCAUACACAUAAAACCCUUUAACAAAACAACCUAAUAUCACUCGAAUCGUUACUAGAAUCAUCACUCGAAUCCCCAUCUUCAUUAUCAGUUUCUUCCUUCGUAGGUACUAUUUGCUCCCCAUCAUUGGUGCACUUUGCACCUUCUCCAGAGCGGAAAAUGACAAGAUCAAAUAAAGGUGUACUUUUGCUGGAAAUCAACAUAAAAAGACACAGAUCACCAACUUCCAAAUGAUUGUCACGCACAACGUCCAUCCAACUACGCCUGAAUAAGAGCCAAAUCUAAAAAAAUUUAGGUCGCGCGAAAAUUUUUAGAGCUCGCGCGUUUUAAAACGUCGAAAGAAAAACCAAGGCGAAAGUUCUACAAGUACCGACGUAAAUUUAAUAUUCCACGACGGAAACUUCAUUUUUCGGAUUAAGAACGUAAGGCCGUUCAUUUUGAAGCUUCAUUUUUCGGAUUAAUUUUAAAUUUAUUUUGAAUUUUUUAUAUAACGACGACUGAAAAACCACGUCGGUGUUAAGAAAUUAAAGACGUUGUAAAUUAUAUAAACCGACUUACAUAUUAAAAUGACGUCGUUUAAAGCGUAAACCAUGUCGUAUGUUUUUCUGUACGACGUAAAAUAUGUAUUCCACGACGCAACCACCGUCGUUAAAAAUUAAUACCCUAAACCCAUAAAACUAAAUUAUACAAUUUAAAAAAUUAAGUUUAUAAAAGGUUUUAUGGUUUUAAAGCCUAACAUAUACCCUAGACUACCCAAAAAUUAUACUUUAAAAAUAAACCCCAAUAAAUAACAACCCUAAUCUCUAAACCCUAGACUCUAAACCCUAAACCAUAAAACUAGAAGUGAUUUUAUGACUCAUAAAAACAAUUUUGUUUUGGAUGGUCAUUUUAAAUUUUUGUUAUUCAAAAUGAAUUUUUUCAAGGUUUAUGUGGAAGAAAAUAUAUCAAUGACUUCAUAGGAGUUGACUUUUCAAUUUUCUGAUUUAUUUUAAAUUUAUUUUGAAUAUUUUGAUAUAAAAAUAAUAAAAUAUUCUUACCACAACAAUAAACCACGUCGGUGUUAAUAAAUUGUAGACGUUGUAAAUUGUAAUAGACUACUAAGUCGUUAAAAUGACGUCGUUAAAAUGAGAAACCAUGGCGGCUAUUUAACUAUACGACGUAAAAUAUAUAUUCCACGACUUAACCGCUGUCGUUACAUAAACGUCGUCGAUGAUACCCUGAACCCUUAAGAAAUUGAAGAUGUUGUAAACCAUAAACGACUCAAUUGUUCAAAGAACGUCGUCUAACUAUAUUUUUACGUCGUAUUUGUUUAAAACACGAAACAACAAAAUACGACGGUUUUUGACUUUAUUAGGUCGUUGGAAAAGUAUUACACGUCGGUUAAGCAAUUUGUAUGUUUGUUUUUUUUUUAAUUUAAGAAAACCUCAACAAAUUUUUACAUUACAUAUUAUAGAGAAAAUUUGUACAUUAUACAUAAAUAUCAAGUGUUCAAUAAUUGCCCUGUUUAAUAAUUUGGAAAACAAACUCUGCCCAUUCAUUCCGGACUUCAUCAAUGGCUUCUUGGGGGUAUGAAGCUUCCUGGUUUCCCUUGGCAUACUGCAUAAACAAUGACUAUUAGGGUUUAUAAAUAAAAAGAAAUUCAAUCACAGACGACGAUAUUUUUCAUAACCGACGUAGUAUAUCCAUUCAACGACGUUAAUUUUACAUGACCGUCGUUGAUAAUACAAAAAACGACGUGAAAUGUAUGAAGGUAAUUUCUUCUUACCUUAUUCUCAAACCCCAAGGAAGGAUCCAUGAUGAUGUCCCUCAUGAAGCGCAUCACAUAAUACCCGCAUUCGACAUUGCUGGGUUGCUUUGGUGUGCCUGAGAGAGUUUUCCAAAUUACAUUUUUACGUCCUGCUCGGCCUAUGUGGGUAUUAUAUAUUUUUAAAGCACUGUUCACGAUGUUUUUCGCCUCUUCGUCGACCACACGAUGACCUGGCAGAGGAUCCAGAAAAUAGACGGUCUCCUUCUUUGCUCUUACAAUCAGCAAGAUCCAAUGACGGCUGCACAAAAUUAAUAUAAAAACGACGGUUAUUUACAAAAACGACGUAUUAUAGUAUUUCACACGACGAAAUAAAGUAGAUAACGACGACAUUAUAUAUUUAUCACGACGAUAAAUAAAUACCGACGUGGUUAGUAGUUUCAAACGACUAAAUAAAAUAAAACACCGACGUGGUUAGUUUAUAAGCUGUCAUUUAUUGAAAAUCAUAAAAACAAAAUCCUAAGGAGACUAACCCUGGAUUGUAAGGCAUCAUGAAAAUCUGUUCACCGUCUGUCUUCUGAAGUCGAGCUGCUACCAGUCGUGAUCUUUCAGUUAUUGUGCCAGAGUUGGCACUAACUGUAGCAGGGUCGAUAAAGCUAACCAUGCUGCACAUAUUGGCUUGUUUCAAAACAUCGUGUAAGUACCUAAAUACAUAAAAUAAUAUAAACAAGUCAGCACAAACAAACACGACGGUUAUGUAUAAAAAAACGACGUAUUAUAAUAUUUCACACGACGUACUGAAAUAGAUGAGGACGUUAUAAUAUAUUUAUCACGACGGUAGUUAGUUAAGACGACGUGGUUAGUUAGUUAAGACGACGCAAUAUAUAAACCAACGAGGUAUUAUUUUAGAAGUACAAACCUCAUAUAUACAGCCAAUACAGUAGCUCCAAUUUCUUCCAUGCCUGCAAAUUGUGUAAUAUCUUCAGGCAGGAGGAAGGUAUCGUGCUCACCACCAAACACCUCCUUAUCAAUUGUAAAUUGGAGUGUCUUAUCCUCAGGCAGGAGUGUCGUUUCCACAAAAUGACAAAGGGUUUUUAAAGAAGAUGGCGCCUCCAUAUUUGAAUAAGCACCAACUUCAAUAACCUGUUUAAAGAAAUAAAAAAAAUGACGUGGUAAUUCAAUAAAGACGACGGUUUAAGGAAUAAAACGUCGUCUUAAAAGUAUUUAAACGACGGUGAAAAAACUGUCGUGGUAAUUCAAUAAAGACGACGGUUUUAUGAAUAAAGCGUCGUCUGAAACCAUUUAAACGACGGUGCAAAAACCGUCGUUUAAAUAUUUUAUUACGUCUUAAAAAAAGUCCGCCGUCUAAGUUUUAAACAAACGACGGAUUAAAUAAAAAUAUCGACGUCUGAAAUUUUGAAAAACAAAUAAAAAAAGGCAAAGUUAUGUGAACAUACCUUGUCGUCAUGCUUUUCUUCAUCUUCUUUCUCCUUUUCUUAUUCCUUCUCUUCAUCUCUUUUUUCUUCUUCCUUCUCUUCAUCUGGCUGAUGUUUCCCCAUUUUGGCAGUAUCAUCCUCCAAAUGUAGGGAUCUCACAUCACCUCCAGAGCAGCUAGCUUUGUCAGACAUUGGAUUUUUGGGGCUUUGGCUAAUUCUUGGUUUAAGCAUGCUUGGAUCAAAAUUGGGAAUUAAUUGGGAAAGCUGACUCAGGAAAUGCUCCCUCUCAGCCUCUACCAAUUGUUUUGUCCUAGCCUCCAUCCUUAAGGCUUCUUCCCUUGCCUUAGCCUCCAUCUUUUUAGUCUCUUCUUGAAGGAGAACUCUUAAACUGUCCUUCAAACGGUCGUCAAAGCUCACCCUCUGUGGUUUGGGCAAAUUGAAAUAUUGCCUUGGGGAAACACCAGCACCAACUCUCCUCACUCUGCCUGGAUGCUCGGGGCCCAAAGCCAUGGUCAGCACAUCAUUGCUGCCAUCUACUCUGACUUUGCCUUCCGAGACUUGUUUCUGCAAUUCAUCCUAAAACAAAGAUAAACAAAAAAACACACGACGGUUAUUUAUUUACAAACGACGUAUUAUAUAAUUUCACACGACGCAAUAACGUAUAAACCGACGUUAUUAUAACUUAUCACGACGGUAGUUAUACCGACGUGGUUAUUUAUUUAAAACGACGAAAUGAAUAAACAACCGACGUCUUAUGCUAUAAUUAAAGAAAACAGAGUAGUGAUUCCUAUUUAGACCGUUAACGACGUUUUUAAAAAAGUUUCGACGUGGUAAUAUCAUUCAAACGACGCGAAAAUGAACCACCGACGUCUUAUGCUAUAAUUACAGAAAAUUAGUAGUGAUUCCUAUUUAGACCUUUAACGACGUUUUUAAAAACUUUUCGACGUGGUAAUAUCAUUCACACGACGAAAAAUAUAACAUACGACGUAAUAAGAAUAAUUCACAGUUUAAUAAAAAUUUAAAACAGAGUGAUAGUAGGCUUACAAUUAAUUUUGCUUUCUCUGCCACCUUUGGAUCAGGGAUGUUACCAUGUUUGUCCUGUCUAGCUCUCUUCCAUAAGGUAGAUCGAUCAAUUUCUACCCCAGGCAUGGUUUCCUCCAAUUGAUCCUCCAAUCCAGCAUAUCCUUUUCGAGACAAUCGAUGAUUGUACUCGAGUUUCUUCCUAAUCUGUGCAUGUUGAGAAUGCACAGACUCAAAAUCUUUGGAUAGCCUUGAAGCUACAAAGGCAUCCCAUUGUGCUUUCUCUAUGAAUUUAUAUGUUUCAGGGGGUUGGCUUAAUUUCUCCCUGUCAUUGGUGUAUGGAAGGAUAUAAUGCCUCGUUAGUGUAGACUUGAAAUCCUUCCAUUUCUGGAAGCAGAAGCUAAAACAGAGGUCUUGCCCCCUUGGCCUACGACAAAAGCCAUGUCAACUGCUUCCCAAAUCUGCUCCUUUAUAUCCUUGGGGAUUUGGGACCAUUUCUUGUCCACAAGUGGGAUCCUGGAGCGUGCCAACACACCAAUAUACGACUGCAUCUCAAUAUGUGCUUGGCCAACACCUUUCCCCCUUUUAUUGUACUCAACAAUUGGCCUCAGUUUCUGAAGCUUUCUCUUCACAACACGAGGCAUUGUGCUCAUACCUCGACCAGUCUUUGAAUCAUCAGAGAUUGUUGUCUGGCUGGUUGGUUCUGUCUCAGCAGAUGAUGAAGCAAACUUCAUCUUCUUCGAAGACUUCAUCUCCUUCGAAGACUUGUCUUGAGGAGCUACCAUUCCAAGCUUCUUGGAGCCAGAAUCCUUAGUUUGUUGUUGAGAAACCAUUUUAACAGACAAAACUGCAAGUGAAAAUAUUUCAGGAAAACAUUAAGAACACAAACGACGGUAUUAAAAAAAUACGACGUAUGAUAUGAUUUUAGACGACGCAAUGAAAUAAUCUCAGACGUAAUAAAUGUUUAAAACCAUUAUUUAUAUAACGUCGUGGUAUAUAUGUUCACACGACGUCAAUAGUAAUACACCGUCGUGGUAAACUAUUAUUUAUAUAACGUCGUGGUAUUUAUGUUCAUACGACGUUAAUAGUAAUACACCGUCGUGGUAUUAACAUUCACACGACGUAAAACAAUAAGAUAUUUUGUCGUCUAUAUUAGAUACCAACCCUAGUUUCUUUUUCUUUAUAUUUUAUCAAAUAAGGGAAAAACAAAAACCAUUGUUCAGAGAAAUCAAACCUGCAAUUAAACAAGCAUAUAAAAAAAGACUAUUAUUUUAAAAACAACUUUGUCAAUUUUCAGACGACGCUAGAACAACUGACGAACCGUCGUGGUCUACCGUCGUCUUAUUUAGUUGAGGUAGUUGUCUUCAAAGUUGGAAACUUUCCCUCUUUGUCUGUAUAUUUUAUCAAAUUUGGAAAGAAGUACAAUGAUUUUGGCCAGAAAAAAGGUAAAAAGAUUUUUCAAACAAAAAACGUAUGAGCAUGCAAAACAGUAACCAAAAUAGUGAAAAUGAAAGCUUACCUUUUGCGUGCAAUGAAAGCAAGAGGAAGAUGAUCGAUGUUUAAGUUCAAGGACGACGAAGAAGACGAGAGGAAGACGAUGAGAAACUCUGACAAUGCUCUGACAAGGAAAAAAGACGAAAAGGUUUCUCUGGAGAUUGAAAUUUUUAAUCGGGUUUGGAAACAGUGCAUGUGUAAGUUCAAAAGUUGCUUACAUAUAAAACCAUUUCAAAAAAAUAAUACGGCGGUUACAUUUAACUACGUCGUUUUUAACUAACACGACGAAAUAUUUUUCGUUCGACGUGGAAUCAUUUCAUUUAACGUCGUUAGGUUUAAUAUAACCGACGUGGAUUUUAAUUUUUAAAUUAUGAAUAUAAUUUUUUUUCCCGUGACCUUUCAGUUUAUUUUUCAAUUACAGUGCGUUAUAAAUAGAGUUCUUUUUCCAGAGGAAAUUUAAAACGAAGGAAAUUAAUAUUCUGCAAUAUGUAAAGUUUCUUUUUUGGAUGACAGAUUUAAAUAAAAUAAGAAUAUAAAAAUAACUAAUGUGUAAGUCAAGUAGACGAAAAGUUGCUUACAUAUAAAAUCAUUUCAAAAAAAUAAUACGGCGGGUACAUAUAACUACGACGUAUAAAGUACAAAAUACGACGGUAAAUUUAACUUCGGACGUGGUAAAUAAAUACGACAGUAGUGUUGUAGGUACCGUCGUAGUAAACUCAAAAAUUAAAGUACAUAAGUAAUAACUCGCGUCAUGGUAGAUUAUUUAAGACGUCGUGAUUAUUAAUGUACCGACGUGGAGUUCUGUAAUAUACGUCAGUAAUACCGACGUUGAUUUUACAAUUUAAACGGCGGUUUUUUGGUAAGGACCGCCGUUGGUUUUAAAAAUUUAUUCUAUAAAUUUGUCGCUUUCAUUCAUUUUCGCGGUUUACAUUUAGGGUUCCAAGUUCUUCCUCUCUCAGAGACACUGUCUCUCACAUCUCAAAGACAAUAAUUUGGAGGUCUUUCUCAAAGAGAAAUUGAGCUUACAUUUAGGCUAGUUGACAAGAAGAAGCUUGUCAACUAGCCUUCUCACUUCCUUGAUCAAGCCUGAUAGGACACUUAGUGCUUCUGAAUACUCCUUGCUUUCCAUCAAAAGAGAUGCAAGCCUGGCCUCCACUCGUUGUCGAAGGAAAGUUCGCUUCUCAGGGAAAUCUGAAAAUCAGAUGUGCUUGAUCCUCUGCUUGAUUUUUUUGACUAAGAAGAUCCGUCAGAUUUAAGCAUGAGCAAUCGAAUCCGUAGAGCUUCAGAAGAAGAAGAAGACAUUGUCAAUGCUUUGAACUAUACAAGUCUGCAGAAAGAUAAAGGACCAAACUGUUAAAGAAACUGAAACAACGGCGGUUUUCUGUUCUACCGUCGUCUUUUCUCGUCGUCUAUAUUAAGGUAAGAUGGCGGUAGAUUUAUAAUUACCGACGUAGAUUAUUUUGUUAAACGUCGUUAAGUGUACUACAACCGACGUGGAUUUUAUUUUUAAAUUAUAAAUAGAGUUUUUUUUCCAGACUUCUUUCAGUUUUAGUUUUCAAUUACAAAGCGUGAUAAAUAGAUUUUUCUUUCCCGAGGAAAUUUAAAAUGAGGGAAAUUAAUGUUCUAGAAUUUGUAAACUAACACGACGCAAUAUUACUAACCCGAGGAAAUUAUAAAUAGAUUUUGCUUUCCUGAAGAAAUUUUAAAUUAAUUCAGUUUGAAACAAAACGACGGUUUUUUGUUAUGCCGUCGUUUUUAACUAACACGACAGAUUUAAAUAAAAUAAGAAUAUAAAAACAACGACUGUUUUUUUACUACUGUCGUCGUUUUUCGUCGUCUUAAGUAAGACUAAGACGACGUAAUAUAUUUGUUGAGCGACGUUGAUUUGUUUUUAAACGUCGUUAGGUAUAAUAUAACCGUCGUUGAAAAUUGUCUCUCUGAUUGCAAAUUUGCAACGACGUUGAUCAACUUCCAAAAAAUUGUCUCUCUGAUUGCAAAUCUGUGUCAUCUGUUAAGAUUAUUUUGUAUUUUAAAGCCGUGGAUUUGUUUGUAAUUAUACGGCGUCUUAUACGAAAACCUCGUCGUGUUAUUUUAUGAGUAAAAACGGCGGCUUUUAUUGAAAUCGUCGUCUUUACUUUCUACGUCGGUCUAUUCAUAACUUCUGCCGUUCUUUGUUUGCUUUGAUUUUACAUUGCGGAAAUCUGUUUCAAAUAGACGUCGGUUGUUUAAUUAGGUACGUCGUUGUUUUUGAACAGCCAUUUGAAUCUCCAUUUUUUAGUUGUCUAAGGUGGUAUUACACGACGGUGUUUUUAGAACCGUCGUCUUUUUAAAAACCACGACGGUUUUCACUUAGACCGUCAUUGUUUUCUGGUCGUCUUUUUCACUUUUUGUAGUAGUGUGGAAAACCAACUAGACCUAAAGAUAAAAGUUGUAAGGCCUGACAGAGGAGGAGAGUUCUAUGGGAGAUUCGAUGAGCUUGGAGGAAUCUUGGUCCUUUUGCAAGGUUUCUAUAGCAAGAAGGAAUCAUUGCUCAAUACACUAAUCCAUAGACUCCACAGCAAAAUCGAAUUGCAUAGAGGAGAAACAGAACUCUAAAGGAUAUGAUAAGAAGCAUGAUGUGAUGCACAAACUUACCAAUUUUUCUGUGGGGAGAAGCUUUGAACACAUCAAAUCACAUACUCAAUCGAGUACCAAACAAGGGUAUCAACAAUAUCCCUUAUGAAGUUUGGAAUAAGAAAAAAUUACGCUUGAAACAUUUGAAAACAUAGGGCUGCAAGAUAGAGGCAAAGCUUUAUAACCCUAUGGAAAAGAAGCUGGAUUCGAGAACUGUAAGUGGUUAUUUCAUAGGAUAUCUAGAUAGAACUAAAGGAUACAGAUUCUAUUGUCCUAAAAACACUACCAGAUUUGUAGAAACUCAGAGGGCAAUGUUUAUAGAAUCUGAAGGUGAGACAAUCGAAGAUGAAAAUUUUGAGUUUGAUGAAGAUAUUGCAGAAACUGGGGAAACAAUACAAACUGACAUUUUGGUGUUACUAAGUUUUGACUUGAAUGGCAAACAAAACAACCAAGAAGGGCAAACUGGUACAGACCCUAUGGUCACUGAAGAAGAAACUCAAGAAAAUCAAGUUUUACUACCCGAAAAUCAAGAUGUAGUUCAAACACAAGAAGGAACUAAUAAUCAGACAAAUGCAGGACUAAGAAGGUCAGAAAGACCAAAGAAACGUGCUUUACAUAAUGAUUAUGUUUACCUUCAAGACUCAGAGCAUAAUGUGAAUGACAUUGAGGAUCCUAUGAACUUCAAGCAAGCAAUGAUGAGUAACAAAAAUGAAAAUUGGUGGGCUGUUUUGAAAUCAUAAUUAGGUUCCAUGGAAAAUAAUGGAGUUUGGGAGCUUGUGCCUUUACCAUAAGGGAGCAAACCAAUUGGCUACAAGUGAGUGUUCAAAACCAAGAGAAAUUCGAAGGGGUGGAUAAAUAGAUAUAAGGCUAGAUUGGUUACUAAGGGGUUCACACAGAAAGAAUGAAUUAAUUUCAAUGAGACCUAUUCACUUGUCAUAACAAAAGACUCCUUGCAAGUGAUCAUGGCACUAGUAGCUCAUUUUGAUUUACACUUGCCUCAAAUAGAUGUUAAGACUACAUUCUUGAAUGGAAACUUGGAGGAAGAAAUUUAUAUGCAACAACCAGAAGGUUUCAUUCAAGAGAAUGGAGAAAAUCUGGUUUGCAAGUUGUGUAAAUCAAUCUAUAGUCUAAAACAAGCAUCUAGAGAGUGGUAUAAGAUUCAAUGAAGUUGUUAAACUAUAUGGUUUUACAGAGAAUGUCUUAGAUAAGUGCAUUUACAUGAAGAUGAGUAGGAGUCACUUCAUAAUUCUGAUUCUUUAUGUAGAUGACAUUCUGCUAGCUUGCACCAACAUGUCCAUGUUACACGAUUGCAAGGCAUUCCUGGCUAAACAUUUCGACAAUGACAGAUUUGGGAGAAGCCUCAUACAUUUUAGGAAUCGAAAUUAGCAGAAAUAGAAAGAGAGGUUUGUUGGGACUAUCAUAGAAAACUUAUAUAGAAAAGAUACUCAAAAGGUUUAACAUGCAAGGCUGUGCAAGGUCAGAUGUGCCUAUUUCGAAGGGAGAUAAAUUUAGUACUAAUCAAGCACCAAAGACUGAUCAAGGAAAGCUUGAGAUGGCAGAUAAACCUUAUGCAUCAUUAGUGGGGAGUCUCAUGUGUGCACAAGUAUGCACAAGACCUGAUAUUACUUUUAUAGUAAGUGUAUUGGGAAGAUUUUAGUCAAAUCCUGGACAAGCAUAUUGGAUUGCUGGUAAAAGAGUCAUGAGAUAUUUGCAGAGAACAAAAGACUAUAAGUUGGUUUACAAAAGAAGUGACAGACUGGAAGUAGAAGGUUAUGCUGAUGCAGAUUUUGCAAGUUGCAAAGAUGACUUGAAAUCUACAUUAGGAUAUGUUUUCCUAUUUGAGCAGCAAUAUCAUGGAGAAGUAACAAGCAACCACUCACAAUUGCAUUGACUAUAUUGGCAGAAUUUCUGGCUUGUUAUGAAGUAACCACUCAAGCUAUGUGAUUAAAGAACUUUAUCACUAGUUUGGGUGUGGUUGAAUCAAUUCAACAACCUAUACAUCUUUGGAAUAAUAACAGUGCAAGAGUACUUUUUGCAAAAGGGAAUAAAAGAACAAAGGCAUCAAGAAUUCUGGAAGUUAAAUUCUUUGCUGUCAAAGAAAAGACUAGAGAUGGGCAUACUGUGUUGGAGCACAUUGGCACAAAUGAAAUGGUUGCAGAUCCACUUACUAAGGGGUUACCAAAUGUUGUUUUUCACAGACAUGUGAUUAGCUUGGGAUUGACAGUUCAUUUGGAUGACUAAAACAAUGGGAGUUUUAUCAAGUUCUGGUAGUUUAACUAGUUUUGCUAUUUUCUAUUUAAAUUCAUAGAGUGGUGUUUUAAUUUGGAUGAUUUUCAGUUUAAGGAUUCGAAUAUAGUAUAUUUAUGCAAUGUAGUUUAUAUGCACAUGUGAUUACUUGAAUAUGUGUGGGUGGCAUAGCAUGCAUUUAAGCUAGCCAUGAGAAGAUUGUAUUCAUGACAGUUUGUAAUUUUUGUUAUGCAAAUUGAGACCUUGUUAGUCAUUUAUAGGGACAAAGGAAUUAGAUGACUUUUGUUUAAAGCACUUUCAGUAAGGUCAUCUACAUUCUAAAGUUUUAAUCUUGAUCGAAGCCUUAUGUGGUGUUGAAGAGUUUUAAGUGUGAAUAUAAAGACUUUGAUAACUGUAUGAUCAAUAAGUCUCUUAUAAUUUUUCUUCAUUAACAACUUAGUGGGAAUUUUAUCUGGAUAUACUUUCACAAGGCCUUAAAGUGAUCAAUACGAGUUUUCCUUAGCGAUUAUUUAACCAAGUGGGAGACUGUAAGACAAAUCCGUGUCUUAGUCUAAAUUGUGGUCUUCUAAUCAUAUCUGGUUUGGAGGAGCUCUAAUUGAUCAGGAAGUAUUAAUCCUAAUACAAGUAGGAUACUCAAUCAAACAGUGCGUUUACAUUGAGAUAGGAGUAUCUUAAGGAUUCCUAAUUCUAUAUGGAUUAAAACAUCCAAUUCCUAAGUAAACAAAAUCUGUUUGAGUACUCCUUGAUGGGUAAGGUACCGGAACAGAUGCUUAUAAAUAAGGUCCCUUUUGUAUCGGCUAAAAUACACUCAUAACAGAAAACUCACCCCAUCCAGAGAUAGAGAUAAAGAGCCGAGUUGGAGAAGAAGAUUCUUAUUCACAAUGUCUGAUCAAGGUUAGUAUUUGAGAUUCAAAGACAUGAUAACUUAUAGUAUAUAUGGGUUGUUAAGAUUUUAUCCAGAGAUUCAAAGAAAGCUUUUUUCUUUUUAUUAAACCCUUUUCAUCUUUUUCAAUGGUGCACAGUGCAAUAUCCGAGUGGGGAAAUUGGGAAAUUAAAGGAUGAAAAAUAAUAAUUGGGGCAUGCCAAAUUGGCAAAUGCGUAAAGGAGAUGAAGCCUAUCAAAAACAUCAUUUGUUGGCAAUGGAAACUGCAGGAUGAUUGGAAGUUAAGCCAUCUAAAAUCUCCAUCAGUAUCUCUCACUCACUCAUCUUUUGGGACAGAUUCCAGCUUUCUUCCACCACCCACUACAACCUCUCUGUCUACCCCACACCCAAGCAAGAUUCCAAUUAAUCAUCUUCGCUCUCUGAUAAAAGAUUCCUGCUGUUAAUUUAUUCGCACCAGAAAUUAGGGAUGGCCCAUUCACAAUCAAACAAACACAAGAUAACUUUGCUGGACCGCUCAUUUUCUUUAAUUCUACUAAGGCAAUUACAUUAUUGUGACAACGAUUGUCUUAAUCUCAAAUAUCUUCAAGUACAGAAAUGAUAAGUAUUUAGUCUGGAUCAUAAGAAUAUAGUGGUAAAUACAAUUAGUUUCUACCUCAACCUUUUUGAGGCAUUUCGACGAACUGUUUAAGGAAAAUAUCAAUAGAUAACUGAAUUGAUGAGCCAGAUUAAGAACAUAGAUGUCCGAGUGCAGAAUAUAGUAAUUUAUAAACAAAUGAAAAUAGUAUUUUUCCAGUAAUAAUUUUUGAAAAGAACUAAUGAUAGAGACCAAUUGUUUAAAUUAAACAACACUUUGUUUUCUUGUAAUACUUUCAAUUAGUUGGAUGAUUGGUGUGGUCUUCGUGGACUCAGUUGUUAGUUGGAUAAUUAGUUAAACGACUAUAAUUAGAUGUUUUAAAUAGCUUUCAAUUGUCUAAUAUUUCAUAAAAAUCAACUGUAAAUUACGACUCAGAUGGUUGAAAUACAAUUUACUUCAAAAUAACAAAUUAUUCAACGUGUUGAGAAUGUUGUAUAUGGAGUCUACAUAGACUUGACUAGUUGGGUGUUAGGCAAUUAUGAAUUGAAAAUAUUUGUCAUCAGUAAAUGCUUGGAAAUUAAUGCCAUGUUUGGUAUGUCUCAUUAUGUCUUAUUGGACUGGACUGUGUUGUAUAGUACUUGAAAUCCAUAUUUGAUAAUGGAGGGGAUUAACUUAAAUGGGAUUAUAUAGUUCAUCAGUGUAAAAAAGCUCCGGACUCACUUGUCUAAUAUAGCAAUGCUGAAAUGUGGUUCGUAAAUUAGCGAGAACGCUAUUUUGAGCAUGCAGUCCAACCCUUGGCUUGAAUUACAACUUUUUUUUUAAUGAAAUAGGAAGGAAAAAAAAAACACGAUAACAAAAAGAAAAGAGAGAGAGAGAGAGAGAGAGAGAGAGAGAGAGAGAGAGAGAAAUGCUAGGAAAAAAAAUAAAAACAGAAAAAGAGAGAGAAAUUAAUAAAAUAAUUAUUUUUUAGUCCGACACAGAAUCAAACAUAGGUCUUCACUAUUUUUACAAUUCAACUAUUUAAUCCGACGUAACACCAAAAGUAGCUCAAUAUUUAAUCCAGCUUACGCCAAACGAACCCUAAGCCCGAUAACCCCAGUUGACAUCGUCCCUGUCUCCAAUUAGCCUAUAUAAGGCCAAGGGUAUGCUUACAUUACAGCAGCAACUCAAUAAUCUAGAGGUAAUCUUGUUAAUUAUUCAUGGAAACUCCCAUUAUUUUUAGCUCCUCCUUCCUUAGGUUUUUCAUGGGUUUCUUCUCUGUACUUCUAUGCCUAAUUCUCUGCUCUUUCGAGAACGGAUUUGCUUCGGCAGCAAGAGAUACAAAACCCCACCUUCUGCCACAUACCACUCACACAGUUGAAGUAAACUCUCUUCUACCAGCAACCACCUGCAGCCCCUCCACCAAAGGUUAAUUCAUCCCAUAUUAUAUAUAUAUAUAUAUAUAAAACUUAAUUUCAAUGCAUUUAUGUAUCUCUAACACACACUCUCUCUCUCUAUGCAUACAUGUUUCGAUGAUCUCAGGUCAUAACAAUAACAAGGCAUCAUCGGUAUUGAAAGUGGUGCACAAACAUGGGCCAUGCUCCAAAUUCCACAAAUCAUCAAAAACUUCAACCACAACUAGUGAUGAAAAAUACCAUGCUCAAAUCCUCAAGCAAGACCAAGCCCGAGUCAACUCCAUCCACUCCCGCCUCAACCACAACAACAACAGCAGAAUCAAAGACCCACUCACCCAAUCCGCUGCUACCACCCUCCCCGCCAAGUCCGGUAUUGUUAUCGGCUCACCGAACUACAUUGUCACCGUCGGCCUCGGUACACCCGCCAAGCAACUCUCCCUCGUCUUCGACACUGGCAGCGACCUCACCUGGACCCAAUGCAAGGCAUGUUCUGCUACUCAGUCUUGUUACAAUCAGACUGAGCCCAUCUUCGACCCUUCUCUCUCCGCCUCAUACAAAAAUAUCUCAUGUACCACCGCCGCGUGUACUCAGCUCUCAUCCUCCGGCAUCGAACACCGCUGCUCCGCCUCCACCUCCGCCUGCCUCUACGCCGCCGGGUACGGAGACAUGUCCUUCACUAUCGGGGUCUUUGGCAGCGAAAAGCUUACAUUGACCCCCACGGACGUUUUUGAAGGUUUCCUCUUCGGCUGCGGCCUAGAUAACGAAGGCCUUUUCAGCGGAUCCGCCGGUUUGCUCGGUCUCGGCCGGAGCAGCACCUCCCUCGUCGAACAAACCGCCAAUAAAUACAACCGGUUCUUCUCCUACUGCCUCCCGUCUACUUCCAGCUCCACCGGUCACCUCACCUUCGGAGACGGAGGCUCCGCUAACGGCGUUAAGUUCACGAAGCUCAUCACGUCAUCCCAAAGCGAGUCGUUUUACGGCCUCGGCCUCGCCGGCAUCAAAGUCGGUGGGAGCCAGCUGUCGAUUGAGCCCUCAGUCUUUUCGUCUUCUGGAACGAUCAUCGACUCGGGGACUGUGAUCACGCGGUUGCCGGCGACGGCAUACGCGGCGUUGCGGGGCGCGUUUCGGGAGGCGAUGAAGAACUACACGCUGACUGAGUCGUUUUUGUUGCUGGACACGUGUUACGAUUUCAGCGGCUUGAACACGGUGACGUAUCCGAAGAUAGCGUUUAUGUUUGGGGAUGGACUUACGGUGGACUCGGACGCGACCGGGAUAUUGCUUCUGAUAAGUCCUUCGCAGGUUUGCUUGGCGUUUGCCGGAAACGAGGAUGAUAGUGACUUUGGGAUUAUUGGGAAUGUUCAACAGAAGAGGUUGGAGGUUGUGUAUGACGUCGCUGGAGGAAAAGUCGGAUUUGCCCCUGAAGGUUGCCCUUGAGUAAGGGAAAUACCCAUGUAGUUCUUAUUUUCUAGAUACUGGCCCCUGGCACAUGCAUGAUCUUGUGUCAAUUGGUUUUCUUUUAAAUAUAUAUUGUUUUUAGAAUUAAGAAAAGGUAAUAUAAAUAGUUAUGUUCUAUAAAAGUAGAAUCUAUUAUCUGAUUUUAUUUUAAUAUGAAUUUAUCAUAUUAUCCUUAUUUAAUUAAUAAUUUCAAUUUUUAAUGUUUGUAUUAAUUAAGGGCAUUUUUUGGUAUUUUAAAUAAUUUACCAUUCUCUGCAUUGCUUUAUAUAUAUAGAUAAUUUAACUAUUUCUAAAUAUUUAAGAUAAACCCAAAUUCGAAAUUUGCUGUCAUUUAAGAUAAUAUUUGUCCUAGUAUUAUCAAUUAAAUUACAAUAUGUGCCAUUAACCUUCGUUUGUUUGCAACUGUACAUUGAUUCUUUUCCUAAUAAACACUGUAUAGUCUCUUGGAUGCAUGAUCCCUUCCUUGCCGUAAAUUUGUAUUGAUUUCAUAAAAAGUAAUAAUCAAAAUAAUUGAUGUACUGAUUGGAAUUUGUUUUUAUUAUAUAUAAAUGGCACGUAUAUUAUUUUUACAAUGUGCCUACAAUGGUGCUCAUUUUUAAAUAAAAAUAAUUUACCUGUAUGACAUGUACUUAUAUUGUACCUUAUUAUCUUUUAUUGAUAAUAGGAACAUUAUGUAUUUUAAAAAGAGGUACGUUAUCUUAUAUUGAUAAUGUCAAUUUAUCUAUUAUCUCUUAUUGAUAAUAAUUUGGGAGAUUUUGGAAAAGCCCAAAGGAGAGAGAAAAUUUUUAAAAGAAGCCGAAAUGGACAAAAUUGCCCUUAUUUAUUUUUUGAUUUCUUAAGGAAUCUUUUACAUUUGCAUGUCUUUGGUUUGAAAGUUGAGAGGUUUUUCUGUCUUUUUUGAAAAAGCUUUGGCUUUUUUCAAAAGUGAAAAUUUUUUUAUGGGUAAAACCUAAAUUUACUUAAUAAAUAAUUUACCUAUUAUCUUGUACUAGCCUCUUUGCGUGCGCUUCUGCGCUUGCGAGAGGAUUUUUUUUAAAAAAAAUUUAUUUUAGAAUUAAAAAAGAUAAUUGGUAGUUGUGUUUCAUAAAAAUAGGAUCCAUUAUUUGAAUUUUCUUUUAAUUUUAUUUUUUUAAUAUGAAAAAGUGUGAAUUUACUAUAAUAUCCUCAUUUAAUUAAUAAUUUCAAUUCUUAAUAUUUGCAUUAACCAAUGGCAUUUUUUGGCAUUUUGAAUGUUUUAACAUUCUCUGCCUUUUGCUUUAUAUAUAUAGAUGAUAAUAGGUAAAUUAUUUUUAUAAAAUAUUUGGUACAUUAUUUUCAAAAAUGCGUUAAAUGAGUUGGGUAUAUUAUUUAAAUCAUAAGUAAAUCAUAAUAAAAAAAUGAUGCAUAAAGAGUAUUGAAUUGCAGUUACCAAAAAAACAAGUACUGAAUUGCAGGCUAAUUCCAGGUACUAAGACUUAAUACACCUACCAUAUAACAGGUUAAUUUGUAAAUAGGGGUAGUUUUGGAAUCUGAAAAAUAUAAUAAAUCAUAUUUUAAGUUAGAUUAGGUAACUUGCUUAGUUGGAUCUUAGUCAUAAGGUUUUAUUUGAAAAAAUUGGAUAUUUUAAAUAGAAAAAUAAAGAGAAGAACUACAGGUGAUUAAAAAUGAAUUUUAUGAGUCUAAGCUUAAUUUACUAUUCUUUUUUUAAUAUAACAUUUGUGUUUUAAAAAGCAAAAGGAAGACAAUAUGGUUUUUAUUUUUGUAUUGAAGUGAUAUUAUAAACUGAACCUAGAACUUUAGAUAUGGAAUAAAUAUUCUUAACAACUCGAAAAACAGCAGUUUGAAGAAAGAUUAGUGAACAUUCCAAAGUUUGGUGUACGGAUAUAGUUAAACUGAUUGUUUGAUCAGUUUAACUAUGGACUCUGUUGACUCAUUGACUUUGGGACCCAUGAGUAGUCGUGAGUCGUGACUAGGAAGGAACAGAAACGCAUGCAUGAUGCAUGCAGUACCUUCCUUCCAGACUCCGAGUCCACUUGGUAUUAAUUACACUAUUGACAUAUUGUAUGCAUAAUGUAUGUAUGUGUAUUGACAGAGAACCUUCUUACCUUCAUUUUCAUUUUUUGUCUUUUCCUUGAAAGAUAAUUAACAUAAGAGAACGGGUGGACAAAGUCGAUCGACCAAAAAAUGACAACAAAAAAAUUGUAACGGGUUAGGGCGGGGUUUGAGAACGAUGGUAUGGAGCAAAUGCUAGAAAAUUAAACCCUCCAAAUAGUUUAUAUAAGGCCAAUAGUAUGCUUAAACUUAAAUCUACAGCUAGCUAGGCUUGUUAACUAUAUUCAUUUCUAGCUCCUCCUCUUUCCUCAGGUUUUUUCAUGGGUUUCUUCUCUGUGUUUCUGUUCCUAAUUCUCUGCUCUUUCGAAAAGGCCAUUAUUGCUCUGGCAGCAACAAGUCCAGAACCCCACCUUCCGCCACACACUACUCACACAGUAGAAAUAAACUCUCUUCUACCAGCAACCACCUGCACCCCCUCCACCAAAGGUUAAUUCAUUUCAAACCCCAUUUUAAUUACGCUGUUAAUUCUCUCUCUCUCUCUCUCUCUCUCUCUCUCUCUCUCUCUCCCCCUAUAUAUAUAUAUAUAUAUAUAUAUAUUCAAUAUUCAUAUAUUGUCUGGCUAUAUACGCUGUUAAUUCCAAUGGCGCAUGGGAGUAGAGACUGUGAAAUUCCCUCUAAUAUUCAUAUGCAUAGAAAAACAUACACAUUUUUUUUUUAAGUUUAGCAUAUUAAACUUAUACACACUACACAAAUGCUAUGACUCAACUCUAGAACCUUCCAUAAAAAAGCUAUUAUUCUAAAUCACUACACUAGUUGAUCUUUUUUUUUUAAAAAAAAAAACACACAUAAAGAGCCCCGUGCUUGGCCAAAAAAAAAUCUAAACCAAAUUUACUCUUUUUUUUUAUUUAUAGUAAAUUGAGCUUAGACCAAUAAAAUUCAUUUUAAGUUACCUACAACCCUUUCCUUUAGUUUUCUAUUUAAAAUACCCAAUUUUUUCAAAUAAUACCCGAUGAUUAUGAUCCAACUAAGCAAGUUACCUAAAAUAACUUAAAAUUUGAUUUAUUGUAUUUUUCGGAUUCCAAAACUACCCAUAUUUAUAAGUUAAUAAGUUAUAGGGGGUGUAACUAAUGACACCCGUUGAAUUUAGAAAGAUCUCCAAAUAGUUAUAAUGGAUGUAGGAACUAAUUCAAAAAUUUAUUUGAAAUUAAAUAUUAAAUUCCACAUUGAAGUAUUAUUAAUCUAUUUUACGACUAGUAAUCUAUUUUUGAAUUAAUGGUGUUUUUCUUCUAUGAAUUACGACUAGUAAUCUAUUUAAAGUAUUAGUAAUUUAAAUUCAAUAUUAAAUUUAGGAAUUAAUGUUGUUUUCUUUUUAUGAAUUAUACGACCGGUAUUCUUUUUAUUAUAGUUUUAUGAAUAAUAGUGUACGUUCUAAUUAUAUUGAAAAAUAAUUUGAUAAUCUAUUUAUUGUUUUGUUUUUAAAAUAUUUUUUUUAAUGAACCUAUUUUUCUCCAAAUAUUGUACCUAUUUUUUUCUUUUUUAUUGUUUUAUGAAAAUAUAUUUGAUCAUAUUUUUAUUGUUUGUUUUAUGAAAAUAUUUUUUUUACAUGAGCCUAUUUUUUCUCUCAAAAUAAUGUAUCAAUUUUUUUUCCUCUAAUAAUGUACCUAGUAAAACAAUUUACCUAGUAUGAUGAACCUAUUUUUUCUGCUGAAUUUUGUAUCUAUUUUUUUCUAUAAAUAAUGUACCUAUUUUUUUUCUCUAAUAAUGUAUACCUGGUAAAACAAAUUUUCUAGUAUAAUGAACUUAUUUUUUUCUUCUAAAUAAUGUGCAUAUUUUUAAUUUAUAAAAAUGUGUAUAAAUUUCAAUUAUACAACGUACCUAUUUUCUAUAAAUUAUUGUGUACCUAUUUUUAAUUUAUGAAAAAUGUACGAAAAUUUCAAUUACGAAGUAACUGACCUAUUUUUGUCAAAUUUUUUCGGUAAAUAAUAUACCGAUAUUGUUAUAGGUAUAUAUUUAUAUUUAUAUUUUUCAUAUGUGCAUUAUUGGAUAUGUAAUUUACAUAUUAUUUUUUUUAUUUGCAAUUUUAAGGGGCCAUAUGCUAGAGAGAAUGGCAACCGAAAGAAAUGGGGUGAUUGAUAUGCUAUUAAUAGGGAGUUUUAAUUACAAUUAUGGCAGUUAAUGAAAGGCUUGGAAUAAAUUAUAAAUAAAAUAUGAAGUUUGAUGGCAAUGAUGUAAAAACAUAUGAAUACUACGACCUCUUAUAUCCUACUGGUCAUUUAAGUUUGAAAUUGCGUUUUACACAUAAAUUUAUAGAAUGAUGGGUAUAUGCCUGGAAAAAUAGAAUUUGUAGGGCAUAUAUAGUAACAAAGAAAAACAACAAAAUAACAUAGCCCCCGUGCCCCAUUACCUUUGUGUCUCUCUCACCCACAUGGCAUGCAUGGUCUUGUUACCCGUAAACUAGUGGCAGGCAUGCACAGAUGGAUAUAAUUGUGAAUAUAUGCAUAAAGAGUCACAUGUAUACAUACACUCAUCCCUUUCAAUGACCAGGUCAUACCAAUAACAAGGCAUCAAUAUUGGAAGUGGUACACAAGCAUGGGCCAUGCUCUAUAUUCCACAAAUCAUCCAAAACUUCAACCACAAAAAGUGAUGACAAAUACCACGCUCAAAUCCUCAAGCAAGACGAAGCCCGAGUCAACUCAAUCCACUCCCGCCUCAACUACAGAAUCCACGACCCAUUCACCCAAUCCUCCGCCUCCGCCACCCUCCCAGCCAAGUCCGGUCUCCUUCUGGGCUCACCGAACUACUUAGUCACCGUCGGUCUCGGCACACCCGCCAAGCAACUCUCUCUCGAAUUCGACACCGGCAGCGACCUCACCUGGACCCAAUGCCGCCCAUGUCUUCGAUAUUGUUACACACAGAGCGAGCCCAUCUUCGACCCUUCUCUCUCUGCCUCAUACAAAAACUUAUCCUGUACAUCCGCCACGUGUACUCAACUCUCAUCCGCCGGCAUCCCACACCGUUGCUC
rnacentral:lncRNA from 1 species